rnacentral:rRNA from 1 species
GAGACAGUUCGGUCCCUAUCCGGCGUGGGCGUAGGAUAUUUGAGAGGAGCUGUCCUUAGUACGAGAGGACCGGGAUGGACUGACCUCUGGUGUAUCUGUUGGCUAUCAAGGCCAUGGCAGAGUAGCCAAGUCGGGAAGGGAUAAACGCUGAAGGCAUCUAAGCGUGAAGCCCCCCUCAAGAUGAGAUAUCCCAUCGCAAGAGUAAGACCCCUUGAAGACGACGAGGUAGAUAGGGCAGAGGUGGAAGCAUGGCAACAUGUGCAGCUGACUGUCACUAAUAGGUCGAGGGCUUAACCA